GGUUCCAUAGUGUAGCGGUUAGGACAUCUGCUUUACACGCAGAAGGUCCUGGGUUUGUGCCCCAGUGGAGCCA
rnacentral:tRNA from 1 species